rnacentral:rRNA from 1 species
UACGGAGGGGGCUAGCGUUGUUCGGAAUUACUGGGCGUAAAGCGCACGUAGGCGGCUUUGUAAGUUAGAGGUGAAAGCCCGGGGCCCAACUCCGGAAUUGCCUUUAAGACUGCAUCGCUAGAAUCGUGGAGAGGUGAGUGGAAUUCCGAGUGUAGAGGUGAAAUUCGUAGAUAUUCGGAAGAACACCAGUGGCGAAGGCGACUCACUGGACACGUAUUGACGCUGAGGUGCGAAAGCGUGGGGAGCAAACAGG